rnacentral:rRNA from 1 species
GACGAACGCUGGCGGCGUGCUUAACACAUGCAAGUCGAACGGAAAGGCCCUGCUUUUGUGGGGUGCUCGAGUGGCGAACGGGUGAGUAACACGUGUGUAACCCGCCCUUGACUUUCGGAUAACUUCACGGAACUGGGGCUAAUACCGGAUAGGAGCUCUUGCUGCAUGGUGGUGGUUGGAAAGUUUCGGCGGUUGGGGAUGGACUCGCGGCUUAUCCGCUUGUUGGUGGGGUAGCGGCUGACCAAGGCUUUGACGGGUAGCCGGCCUGAGAGGGUGACCGGCCACAUUGGGACUGAGAGACGGCCCAGACUCCUACGGGAGGCAGCAGGGGGGAAUAUUGCACAAUGGGCGGAAGCCUGAUGCAGCAACGCCGCGUGCGGGAUGACGGCCUUCGGGUUGUAAACCGCUUUCGCCUGUGACGAAGCGUGAGUGACGGUAAUGGGUAAAGAAGCACCGGCUAACUACGUG